UAAGUGAAGAGUUUGAUCCUGGCUCAGAGUGAACGCUGGCGGUAGGCCUAACACAUGCAAGUCGAACGGCAGCACAGUAAGAGCUUGCUCUUACGGGUGGCGAGUGGCGGACGGGUGAGGAAUACAUCGGAAUCUACUUUUUCGUGGGGGAUAACGUAGGGAAACUUACGCUAAUACCGCAUACGACCUACGGGUGAAAGCAGGGGACCUUCGGGCCUUGCGCGAUUGAAUGAGCCGAUGUCGGAUUAGCUAGUUGGCGGGGUAAAGGCCCACCAAGGCGACGAUCCGUAGCUGGUCUGAGAGGAUGAUCAGCCACACUGGAACUGAGACACGGUCCAGACUCCUACGGGAGGCAGCAGUGGGGAAUAUUGGACAAUGGGCGCAAGCCUGAUCCAGCCAUACCGCGUGGGUGAAGAAGGCCUUCGGGUUGUAAAGCCCUUUUGUUGGGAAAGAAAUCCAGCCGG
rnacentral:rRNA from 1 species